rnacentral:lncRNA from 1 species
AUUCACUCCCUUGGUUUGUUCCUCUCUGAAAUGUAAGGAUUUUUAACGCCUCUACCAAAAAUCUAUGAAUUUAUGAUGUGAGGUUAUGGUCUAGAAGUGUAUAAGAGAAAGUCUGGUGGUAAAAGUAGCUGCUUUCAUUAGGAAUUGAUAUCCUGUGAGAGCCCAAAAAGCCUAGAUUAACAGUAGGCAUAUACUGAGUGUCUAAGGGCAGGUGAUGACUACCUUCUGCUGCAUGAGGCACAUACAGUUCUCCUUAGCUCCCAACCAAAGCCUCUUUGUUCCUUGCUCUUCCUUUCUGGGUUCAUGGUAGAUUAUGUGCCCAAGCAGUGCAAAGAGGAAUAGCCCUUUGACCAGUGUUUG